rnacentral:rRNA from 1 species
UACGUAGGGUGCGAGCGUUAAUCGGAAUUACUGGGCGCAAAGCGUGCGCAGGCGGUUCGUCAAGUCUUGUGUGAAAGCCCCGGGCUCAACCUGGGAAUGGCAUGGGAAACUGGCGAGCUGGAGUGCGGCAGAGGGGGGUGGAAUUCCGCGUGUAGCAGUGAAAUGCGUAGAUAUGCGGAGGAACACCGAUGGCGAAGGCAAUCCCCUGGGCCUGUACUGACGCUCAUGCACGAAAGCGUGGGGAGCAAACAGG